AUGCAUGCGGCGUGCUAUACAUGCAAGUCGAGCGAAUCGAUGGGAGCUUGCUCCCUGAGAUUAGCGGCGGACGGGUGAGUAACACGUGGGCAACCUGCCUAUAAGACUGGGAUAACUUCGGGAAACCGGAGCUAAUACCGGAUACGUUCUUUUCUCGCAUGAGAGAAGAUGGAAAGACGGUUUACGCUGUCACUUAUAGAUGGGCCCGCGGCGCAUUAGCUAGUUGGUGAGGUAAUGGCUCACCAAGGCGACGAUGCGUAGCCGACCUGAGAGGGUGAUCGGCCACACUGGGACUGAGACACGGCCCAGACUCCUACGGGAGGCAGCAGUAGGGAAUCUUCCGCAAUGGACGAAAGUCUGACGGAGCAACGCCGCGUGAACGAAGAAGGCCUUCGGGUCGUAAAGUUCUGUUGUUAGGGAAGAACAAGUACCAGAGUAACUGCUGGUACCUUGACGGUACCUAACCAGAAAGCCACGGCUAACUACGUGCCAGCAGCCGCGGUAAUACGUAGGUGGCAAGCGUUGUCCGGAAUUAUUGGGCGUAAAGCGCGCGCAGGUGGUUCCUUAAGUCUGAUGUGAAAGCCCACGGCUCAACCGUGGAGGGUCAUUGGAAACUGGGGAACUUGAGUGCAGAAGAGGAAAGUGGAAUUCCAAGUGUAGCGGUGAAAUGCGUAGAGAUUUGGAGGAACACCAGUGGCGAAGGCGACUUUCUGGUCUGUAACUGACACUGAGGCGCGAAAGCGUGGGGAGCAACAGGAUUAGAUACCCUGGUAGUCCACGCCGUAAACGAUGAGUGCUAAGUGUUAGAGGGUUUCCGCCCUUUAGUGCUGCAGCUAACGCAUUAAGCACUCCGCCUGGGGAGUACGGCCGCAAGGCUGAAACUCAAAGGAAUUGACGGGGGCCCGCACAAGCGGUGGAGCAUGUGGUUUAAUUCGAAGCAACGCGAAGAACCUUACCAGUCUUGACAUCCUCUGACAACCCUAGAGAUAGGGCUUUCCCCUUCGGGGGACAGAGUGACAGGUGGUGCAUGGUUGUCGUCAGCUCGUGUCGUGAGAAUGUUGGG
rnacentral:rRNA from 1 species